UAGGGAAUCUUCGGCAAUGGACGAAAGUCUGACCGAGCAACGCCGCGUGAGUGAAGAAGGUUUUCGGAUCGUAAAACUCUGUUGUUAGAGAAGAACAAGGACGUUAGUAACUGAACGUCCCCUGACGGUAUCUAACCAGAAAGCCACGGCUAACUACGUGCCAGCAGCCGCGGUAAUACGUAGGUGGCAAGCGUUGUCCGGAUUUGUUGGGCGUAAAGCGAGCGCAGGCGGUUUCUUAAGUCUGAUGUGAAAGCCCCCGGCUCAACCGGGGAGGGUCAUUGGAAACUGGGAGACUUGAGUGCAGAAGAGGAGAGUGGAAUUCCAUGUGUCGCGGUGAAAUGCGUAGAUAUAUGGAGGAGCACCAGUGGCGAGGGCGGCUCUCUGGUCUGUAACUGACGCUGAGGCUCGAAAGCGUGGGGAGCAAACAAG
rnacentral:rRNA from 1 species